AAGGGAGACCUAAUUCCAGUAGGAGACGAAAAAAAAGUAGUCCCUACCAAGAAUCAAUCCCAAAAGGUCGGAGCGAGGCAAAAUUGGCUUUCAAACUAGGUUCUGGGUUCACACAAGACCUGAAUCAGGAACAAGGGCUAUUAGCUCAGGCGGUUAGAGCGCACCCCUGAUAAGGGUGAGGUCCCUGGUUCGAGUCCAGGAUGGCCCACCUGCACAGGUGGAAGAAAGAAAAGAAGCUCCGAAUCAGCACCUUAUCUUACUUAUAUAGUAAGAGAGAAUGCUGGCUCUGAGUACAGAGUCCAGAGGAACCUUGAAAACUGCAUAGAGCUAGGUGAAAAAGCCAAAAAAGAAGACCGCAA
rnacentral:tRNA from 1 species